GUGUUUGCUUUGGCAGCACACACGCUAAUACUGAGCGAUGCAGAGAAGAUUAGCAUGGGCCCUGUGCAAGGAUGACAGGCAAAUUUGUGAAACAUUCCAUAUAGUU
ensembl:snRNA U6 U6 spliceosomal RNA